UUGAUCGAGGGGGGAGUGGGUCCUGCUGCUCCUGUGGGGACGGGAGAGAGUGGCGGGAUCAGCCCGGGAUCCACAGGGAACGGGAGCAUCCCGGGCUCCGCCGGGAGCGGGAUCCGCUGGGAGCGAGAUCCACUGGGAGCGGGAGCGUCCCGGGCUCCGCUGGGACCGGGAUCCACCGGGAGCGGAAUCCUCCCCGGAGCGGGAUCCACCGGGAGCGCGAUCACCCUGGGCUCCACCGGGACCGGGAUCCGCUGGGAGCGGGAUCCGCCAGAAGCGGGCUCCACCGGGAGCGGGAUCACCCUGGGCUCCACCGGGAGCGGGAUCCGCCGGUAGCAGGAUCACCCUGGGCUCCACCGGGAGCGGGAUCCGCCGGUAGCAGGAUCACCCUGGGCUCCACCGGGAGCGGGAUCCUCCUUGGCUUCGCCUGGAGCGGGAUCACCCUGGGCUCCGCCUGGAGCGGGCUCCGGCCGCCGCUCUGCGCGUUCUCUCCGCUGCCCGCGCAGUUUUAUGGUUCUAAUGCUCCAUCGGAACAACUGAGAUGAGACUGAAGACUUCCCUUUUAAAGGAACCAAAACAUAUCCUUUGUCACAGAAAAAGCACACAACAUCAUGUUCAUUCUGAAUAAACUCUUCAGAAAGAAUUGGUGAGCUGUGUGGGAUGGACCACAGCUGAUGAGCUCUACUCGUG